rnacentral:rRNA from 1 species
UACAGAGGUCCCGAGCGUUGUUCGGAUUUACUGGGCGUAAAGGGCGCGUAGGCGGCGUGUCAAGUCGAGUGUGAAAGCCCCGGGCUCAACCUGGGAAUUGCGCUUGGGACUGGCAUGCUGGAGAUCGGGAGAGGAGAGUGGAAUUCCCAGUGUAGAGGUGAAAUUCGUAGAUAUUGGGAAGAACACCGGUGGCGAAGGCGGCUCUCUGGACCGAUACUGACGCUGAGGCGCGAAAGCGUGGGGAGCAAACAGG